GACCCGUUCGUCUAGCGGCAAGGAUCGUGCGCUUUCAACGCACGGACGCUGGGUUCGACUCCCGCACGGGUUGCCA
rnacentral:tRNA from 1 species